GAAACCAGAGAUAUUUCUUUGUCUUUUUUUGGGAUUAAGGAAGCUAUCUCUGUUGUCUUUUCGAGUUUCAGGUCUAGCCCUUAACCCUAAAAUUUAGCCAUGUCGUCCAAGCAAGGAGGGAAAUUGAAGCCCUUGAAGCAGCCUAAGUCUGGUAAGAAGGAGUACGAUGAGUUUCUUCAGCUCUACGUUUUAAUGGUCUUACUCUGUUUCCAAUGUAGCACGAUAUGGAGUUAAUGCAGAAAAAGAAGGAUGAAG